AAUGGGACUGCUUCUGGUGGGAACUUAGUGGUGAGGUCAUGACAUGGAUAUAUAAGGUACCUUCUUCCUGGAAGGGGGGAAAACAUGUUUUGGGUGCACAGCCAGCUAGCCAUGCAGCCUCUAGAGCAGGCUCAGUCAGCUUCUGGAUGGAACUGAUUUUCUUCUGUUAAGUCUUCUGAGUUAUGGCCGUCUUGUUCAGCUUUGAGCACUCUCAACUUCAGUAUUUCACAAGCGCAGCUCUUCUGGAUGGUCAUCUAGAUAGCUCUUCCAAGGACAUGUUUUUACUACCUUCCUACUGACCAAAGGACCAGCACUGAGUUGUGCUUCAGGAGGUUGAGAUGAGAAGAACUCCUUUCUUAAUGUUUUAUGUGGACUGCUGGAGAACCUCUUCAUACUGCUUUUCAACUGUUGGACAUCAAAGAAAAGUCAAAUUUACCAAUCAAAAAAUGUUUAUCAGAAGCCAUUCUAUAUACAACAGAUAAAUCAGAGAGAACAGAGUAGGCUCCUGGUUCAUCUUUUCCUAUUGGCUUUCCUCAAAAAAUGUUAUUUCAUUACUGUCCUGCCUGUCUUCACACUUCAAGGGAGUCACCUGCACCACUGAAGACACUUGUGAGGAUGUCCCAGGAGGCCAGGCACCGAGUAUUUUACAUUCAUUUUAUAAUCUUGACCAUGUCCCCUGUACUAGUUUUGAGAUUAUUUGAGUCUCCCUGUACUCUAUUCCUGGUGUUUUUCUCUCUCCUCUUCUUUUUCUUCUAGUUUUGGUCCUUAACUUGACCUGCCACAGCAAGGAUUUCCUCUCAAACAAAAACAGGGAAAAAAAGAAAAAGAAACAAAGAAACUCUUAAUUUGUCAGUUUCUAAAAUACAGCUUCUUUAAGCUGUUCCUCUUUUCUUGAGUCUGUCCUGUUUCCUCCAGGGGCUCAAACCAAUCUCUUAUUUACUAGCAUUAAUACCCUCUUAGGAGCUAAAUAGUCCUGGAAUCCAUGCAAAAGAGUAAUCAAAAGAAAACUUCCCUGUCCCUUAGGGUCUUCUCAUUGCAGUCCUUUGGCUCCCAGAACCUAAUCUCAGCUGGUGCUUGCUCAGCAGAACGCUGCUCUGUCAGAGCUCCUCUGAGUUCAAUGACUGGCAUCUGGACUCAAACCCUAUUUCUGAGGCUAGGUAUUGUAGACUUUAUGGAGAGUAUGUCUCCUGCUCUGGCUCUCUCUCCUCAUGCAAGCCUCCUCCUGGGUAAAGUUCCUGGCCAGAAAAAGACUGGGUGUUGCGUGGGAAACCAAUCCAGAGUAUGCAAUGGUUAGCUCAAUGGUUAAGUAAACAAAGUUCUGGCUUUGCCAGGGUUCCUCGCCUCAGAGUCAUGACUGCGGUCAUUGCUAAGUUCUGGCAUGGGUCUUUCUUUUCCUUUCAAGAGCCACAAAGAGCCUCUUCGCAGGAUGUGCUGUUCUAGUUCUGUGUAGAAGUGGUAGACCGAAAGCCUGCGUCAGAGGGCAUGUCAGUGAAGCCAAGGCAUGUCAGUGUUGCCCCGGCAUUUCUGGGAAACCCAUUAUUAUUUCCAACAGCCUGCCAGGACCAGCUUCUGAAAUCUAGGACUGUCCCAGCUAAAAUGGGACAUAUGAUCAAUCACCCUAUCUAAAAGGUCCCUCUACUUGCUAUGGUAUUGCUUAGCUGAAUACAUCCUGGGGGAAUUGGAUAUGAAAAAAUCAACUUGAUUUUUUUUGAGCAGCAAGGAAGUCAGAUCACUUAAUAGCAGCAGAUGUUCUGAGGUUAUCUGUAAGCAAGCCACUCUAGCCUGCCACUAAUUCUGGAUACUUUCAACAUCCACAUACCUCUAAUUAGAAUAGGAUUAGAAAUACUUCAGUUGAAGAGUGUUUGUCCCACAGCAGAUGGCAACUGAUAGGACUGAUUGAGACAAGUAUGAGGAAGGUAUAACAGUAAAGGUUUGAUAAAGAUCUUAAUUCCAGUAGAAAUUUAUAAGAAAUGUUAAUUGCUUGUUGUUGCUUGGACUAUGGAGAACAUUAAGUAUUGUUGAGAUUUCCGGAUUUUUUCCUUUAUGUUAUUCAAAAGAUUGAUUUUUCUGCAGGGAAAUAUUUUAAAGUAAUCUAUGGCAACUCAAAAUAUUGCACAUGAAUGCGAAACUUUACAGUCUCUAUUUUAAUCUUACACACAAGAGGUACCCACAAGAGGAUUAAAAAAAAGUUUAGUUUUGACAUUCAUAUAGAAUCAAGCUUUACUGAUGAAUGCAUUCCAGCCUAGAAAGUUACAGAUGCUAACUGUCUUCUGUCAUAUUUCUUCCUUGUAUCCCAGAGGAUAUUCAUAUGCUGCAUAUAUACAACUUUUAAAACAACUAAAAACAAUAUUUCAAGAAGUGAUGGUACUGGGAAAUCAUGAAUCUUGCAUCCAAAAUAGAACUGUACAUCUUGAAUCUGAGUUGCAUUGUAAUUUAUGCAAAAGUAACAAAGGUAUAAACAUUGUAAACUCUCAUAAGGAAUGAGAAUUUUAUAUCCAAAAUGGGAAUAAGUCAUUCAAAAAGAUAGGUUUAUUCAAACAGCUAGUACUUGAGAAGCUGACAGCACUCUUGGUUUUUUUUAGAGAGGAAUGGUUGUUAAAUAAUGUGUGUUUUUAAGUCAAUAAAAGGAAAAUGAUGU